rnacentral:rRNA from 1 species
GACGAACGCUGGCGGCGUGCCUAAUACAUGCAAGUCGAGCGAAUCAAUAGGAGCUUGCUCCUGUUGAUUAGCGGCGGACGGGUGAGUAACACGUGGGCAACCUGCCUGUAAGAUCGGGAUAACUUCGGGAAACCGGAGCUAAUACCGGAUAAUCCUUUUCCACAUAUGUGGGAAAGCUGACAGACGGUUUCGGCUGUCACUUACAGAUGGGCCCGCGGCGCAUUAGUUAGUUGGUGAGGUAACGGCUCACCAAGGCGACGAUGCGUAGCCGACCUGAGAGGGUGAUCGGCCACACUGGGACUGAGACACGGCCCAGACUCCUAAGGGAGGCAGCAGUAGGGAAUCUUCCGCAAUGGACGAAAGUCUGACGGAGCAACGCCGCGUGAGCGAUGAAGGCCUUCGGGUCGUAAAGCUCUGUUGUUAGGGAGGAACAAGUAUCGGAGUAACUGCCGGUACCUUGACGGUACCUAACCAGAAAGCCACGGCUAACUACGUGCCAGCCGCCGCAGUAA